rnacentral:lncRNA from 1 species
UCUGAAUGGGAAGAUAAAAAAAGAUCGCAACCGCGCGAGGUAUUAGAGGUUCGGUGAAAGGCAAAAUGACAGCAUCUGUGGACUAUGCUAGAGCGUCCAAGAUAGCAAUAAAUUCCUCCCACAAGGGGCAAACCUCUAAGUCCCCAAAGCGAAACGCAUGGAUAUUUGCAUUCUAGAAACUUAAGGCGUCAUAAACGAAGACAUGAUCCACUCUUACAUCACGAAGAAAUCAGAGACAUGCCAGUGGGGUCCUAGUGUCAGCUAGACAUUUUUUGAGAUGCCCUUCAGUAAUAGUUGGAUACAGCGGGGGAAGCUUCACUCGUGAUUUUCUCGCUUUGCUGGAUUAUUGACUUUGUUCUUGUAGAUGCAAUACAUGCAUUUACUUGAUUUGUUUCCUUUACUUUUUUGAUAGUUUGUUUUUUCCCAUAUCUUGGCCCUCCAUUGCCAUUUACUUAACCAACUCUAUAAAUUAGCUGCCUACAAAUUGAAACUCAC